UAUGCAUCAUUUCAGCUUGCAAUUAUGUUUGUAGUUGCUGAAAAUGUGAAUACAACUGUAAAGCAAUCCAACGAAUGGCAUCUUUCACUUCUUUUCCUUUCAAAUUGUUCCUUAAGUGUAUGUAUCUGCACACUUCCACACUUCAACUUCAUUAUUCAGAUUUUUGCAUGUGUUGAAACCCUUUUUAAAACACCAAAAACGUCCAUCCCACUUGCACCAUAUGCAUGCAAUCCAUUUUGGCCCAAAAUUGCUCCAAAUUGCACCAAAAUGCACUUUCUUUCCAACUUUGUUAUUUAGGACCUACAAACACACGAAAAUAGCUUAAAACACUCUUAUAAGCAAUAACUAACUAAGUAAAUGCAAGAAAACAUGUUAACUAAGUCGCAUAAAUAUGCUCCUAUCAUUUAUCCAUAUUGAAGAUGUGUUGGCGAAAAAGGAAAAUAAAAAUCUUAAGGUUGUUGAGAGGUUAUGCGUAGAGUAAGAGUUUGCGCAGAGGAAUUUAUGUGUUGAAUUGGAGAGGCUUGAACGAUGCACCGAGUCUUGUAUUUAUAGGACUCUCUCAUAGCCAAGCUAGAACCACUCUUAGAUUAGGAUUCCUUUACCUAAUCUAACUAAGACUCGGUCAAUCCUAAUUCAACUAGGACUUUGAACCCAUCUUCUAAACGAGCUCCCAGCAUCCCUGAGACUCCUUAUCAUACCAGGCCUCGACUACUUCACCUUUAUCCGAAACAAACCUCCUCAUAACAAGAUUCGACCAACCUUGAUAAGGCCGGCCCAUGACAAGAUUCUAAACAAACGCCUUUGGGCUGAGGAUAUUUCUGAGCUCGGCCCAAAAUAACAUUU
rnacentral:lncRNA from 1 species